AGCAGCAGCCGCGGUAAUACGUAGGUGGCAAGCGUUGUCCGGAAUUAUUGGGCGUAAAGGGCUCGCAGGCGGUUUCUUAAGUCUGACGUGAAAGCCCCCGGCUCAACCGGGGAGGGUUAUUGGAAACUGGGAAACUUGAGUGCAGAAGAGGAGAGUGGAAUUCCACGUGUAGCGGUGAAAUGCGUAGAGAUGUGGAGGAACACCAGUGGCGAAGGCGACUCUCUGGUCUGUAACUGACGCUGAGGAGCGAAAGCGCGGGGAGCGAACAGGAUUAGAUACCCGUGUAGUCCCUGUCUCUUAUAC
rnacentral:rRNA from 1 species